GACAGAGGGUGCAAACGUUGUUCGGAAUUACUGGGCGUAAAGCGAGUGUAGGCGGUCUGCUAAGUCGGGUGUGAAAGCCCCGGGCUCAACUCGGGAAGUGCACUCGAAACUGGCAGGCUAGAGUAUCGGAGAGGUUGGUGGAAUUCUCGGUGUAGAGGUGAAAUUCGUAGAUAUCGAGAGGAACACCGGUGGCGAAGGCGGCCAACUGGACGAAUACUGACGCUGAGACUCGAAAGCUUGGGGAGCAAACAGG
rnacentral:rRNA from 1 species